AUACGGAGGAUCCGAGCGUUAUCCGGAUUUAUUGGGCUUAAAGGGUGCGCAGGCGGGGGUUUAAGUCGGCGGUGAAAUUUUAGGGCUCAACUCUGAAAGGGCGUUCGAAACUGGUUUUCUUGAGGAGAGAAGGAGUAGGCGGAAUUUGUGGGGGAGCGGUGAAAUGCAUAGAUAUCACGAGGAACACCGAUGGCGCAGGCAGCUUACUAAACUACGACUGACGCUCAGGCACGAAGGCGUGGGGAUCAAACAGGAUUAGAUACCCUGGUAGUCCACGCAGUAAACGAUGAUUACUAGCUGUUUGCGAUACAAUGUAAGCGGCUGAGCGAAAGCGUUAAGUAAUCCACCUGGGGAGUACGUUCGCAAGAAUGAAACUCAAAGGAAUUGACGGGG
rnacentral:rRNA from 1 species